ACCAAAUGGCCUUCACGUGCGGUUUCACCCUCUCACAUCUUGCACCGUUUUGAGCUCACAAAUCCAGACUCCAGAGAGAGAGAUAGAGAGAGAGAGAGAGAGAUGGGGGUAGGACUUCGGCUAUGGUUGUGCUUACUGUUGAGCUUUGCCGUGAUUUGCUACGCCCGAAACACCAUUUCAUUCUCAGGGCGGGAGAUACCCAUGGUGAGGAACACGGAGGGAAGGUCUCUCCAACUUUCAAUUGAUGACUACGGCGAUGGUAAUGAAACGUCAGCGAACACAGGGCACGAUCCCAAGUUCGGAGGUGUGGGCGGUGGGAGCAACGGCGGUAAUAGAAGGCGGGAUAAUCCUUGAUUAGGUCCUGUAUUAGUCCUAUGUACAGUGGAUUAUGCAUGUGCAAUGAUGUAGUAAUGGAUUGCAUAGAGUGGAUUUGUGCUUUGGUUUUGAUUAAAAGUGUUCUUUUUAAA